CCUACGGGUGGCAGCAGUGAGGAAUAUUGGUCAAUGGACGAGAGUCUGAACCAGCCAAGUAGCGUGAAGGAUGACUGCCCUAUGGGUUGUAAACUUCUUUUAUAAAGGAAUAAAACGAGGCACGUGUGCCGUUUUGCAUGUACGGUAUGAAUAAGGAUAGGCUAACUCCGUGCCAGAAGCCGCGGUAAGACGGAGGAUCCGAGCGUUAACCGGAUUUAUUGGGUUGAAAGGGAGCGUAGAUGGGUUGUUAAGUCAGUUGUGAAAGUUUGCGGCUCAACCGUAAAAUUGCCAUUGAUAUUGGCAGUCUUGAGUACAUUUGAGGUCGGCGGAAUUCGUGGUGUAGCGG
rnacentral:rRNA from 1 species